rnacentral:rRNA from 1 species
AGCGAACGCUGGCGGCAGGCCUAACACAUGCAAGUCAAACGGACCUUUCGGGGUUAGUGGCGGACGGGUGAGUAACACGUGGGAACGUGCCUUUAGGUUCGGAAUAGCUCCUGGAAACGGGUGGUAAUACCGAAUGUGCCCUUAGGGGGAAAGAUUUAUCGCCUUUAGAGCGGCCCGCGUCUGAUUAGCUAGUUGGUGAGGUGAUGGCUCACCAAGGCUACGAUCAGUAGCUGGUCUGAGAGGAUGACCAGCCACAUUGGGACUGAGACACGGCCCAAACUCCUACGGGAGGCAGCAGUGGGGAAUCUUGCGCAAUGGGCGAAAGCCUGACGCAGCCAUGCCGCGUGGAUGAUGAAGGUCUUAGGAUUGUAAAAUCCUUUCACCGGUGAAGAUGAUGACUGUAGCCGGAGAAGAAGCCCCGGCUAACUUCGUGCCAGCCGCCGCGGUAA